UACGUAGGGGGCAAGCGUUGUCCGGAAUCAUUGGGCGUAAAGCGCGCGUAGGCGGCCCGAUAAGUCCGCUGUGAAAGUCAACGGCUCAACUGUUGGAUGCCGGUGGAUACUGUCGGGCUAGAGUACGGAAGAGGCAAGUGGAAUUCCUGGUGUAGCGGUGGAAUGCGCAGAUAUCAGGAGGAACACCGGUGGCGAAGGCGGGUCUCUGGGCCGAAAUUGACGCUGAGGAGCGAAAGCGUGGGGAGCAAACAGG
rnacentral:rRNA from 1 species